UACGGAGGGAGCUAGCGUUGUUCGGAAUUACUGGGCGUAAAGCGCACGUAGGCGGCUUUUUAAGUCAGGGGUGAAAUCCCGGGGCUCAACCCCGGAACUGCCCUUGAAACUGGAGAGCUAGAAUCUUGGAGAGGCGAGUGGAAUUCCGAGUGUAGAGGUGAGAUUCGUAGAUAUUCGGAAGAACACCAGUGGCGAAGGCGACUCGCUGGACAAGUAUUGACGCUGAGGUGCGAAAGCGUGGGGAGCAAACAGG
rnacentral:rRNA from 1 species